AUACGGAGGAUCCGAGCGUUACCCGGAUUUAUUGGGUUUAAAGGGUGCGCAGGCGGCCAUUUAAGACAGCGGUUAAAUAGUGGGGGUCAACCCCAUUCUGCCGUUGAUACUGGGUGGCUUGAUUGCGGUCGAGGUUGGCGGAAUUCGUUGUGUAGCGGGGAAAUGCCUAGAUAUGACGAAGAACACCGAUAGCGUAGGCAGCUGGCCAGACCGCAAAUGACGCUCAUGCACGAAAGUGCGGGGAUCGAACAGGAUUAUAUACCCUGGUAGUCCGCACAGUAAACGAUGAAUACUUGUUUUCGGCGAUAUAAUGUCGGAGGCAAAGCGAAAGCGAUAAGUAUUCCACCUGGGGAGUACGCCGGCAACGGUGAAACUCAAAUGAAUUGACGGGG
rnacentral:rRNA from 1 species